rnacentral:rRNA from 1 species
ACCUGGUCUUGACAUCCACAGAACUUUCCAGAGAUGGAUUGGUGCCUUCGGGAACUGUGAGACAGGUGCUGCAUGGCUGUCGUCAGCUCGUGUUGUGAAAUGUUGGGUUAAGUCCCGCAACGAGCGCAACCCUUAUCCUUUGUUGCCAGCGGUUAGGCCGGGAACUCAAAGGAGACUGCCAGUGAUAAACUGGAGGAAGGUGGGGAUGACGUCAAGUCAUCAUGGCCCUUACGACCAGGGCUACACACGUGCUACAAUGGCAUAUACAAAGAGAAGCGACCUCGCGAGAGCAAGCGGACCUCAUAAAGUAUGUCGUAGUCCGGAUUGGAGUCUGCAACUCGACUCCAUGAAGUCGGAAUCGCUAGUAAUCGUAGAUCAGAAUGCUACGGUGAAUACGUUCCCGGGCCUUGUACACACCGCCCGUCACACCAUGGGAGUGGGUUGCAAAAGAAGUAGGUAGCUUAACCUUCGGGAGGGCGCUUACCACUUUGUGAUUCAUGACUGGGGUGAAGUCGUAACAAGGUAACCGUAGGGGAACCUGCGGUUGGAUCACCUCCUUACCUUAAAGAA